rnacentral:rRNA from 1 species
CGGCCGCGUCGACGAGAUACGGCCCAGACUCCUACGGGAGGCAGCAGUGGGGAAUAUUGGGCAAUGGGCGCAAGCCUGACCCAGCAAUGCCGCGUGAAGGAAGAAGGCUUUCGGGUUGUAAACUUCUUUUAAGAGGGAAGAGCAGAAGACGGUACCUCUUGAAUAAGCCACGGCUAACUACGUGCCAGCAGCCGCGGUAAUACGUAGGUGGCAAGCGUUGUCCGGAUUUAUUGGGCGUAAAGCGAGCGCAGGCGGUUUGAUAAGUCUGAAGUUAAAGGCUGUG